CAACUCAAAUUACAUACUAAAAUUUCAAACGGAGUUUCCUAGAAAAAAACAUUUUCAUUUUCCGUUGCCUUUUUGCAAAUUCUUGAUUUCAUCAUUCAAAAUUUACACAGAGAGCAAAAAGGGGGGAAAUCGCAAUCAUGGAUGGCGGAAUCGCACGUAGUCGUCUUUCUGUGGAGCACAGAUCAUGUGGCGGAUGGAUCACCCACAUGGAUUUGUGGCUAGGCCUGAAACUGGUCCAGAUGGGUCUGUUAAUUUGAUGGUGUGGCAUUGUUCUAUCCCUGGAAAACCUGCGGAGAAGGAACCCACAAAUCAAAAUGUGUUUUCAAUAAAGGUUAGUUGUCAAUUCUAUUCUUCAAGUCAAGUGGAAGUUUACAAAUUUUGUCCAACUGCAGACAAUAUGCAUUUUAUUCCAACUAUUAACAUUAAUGCAACUACUGUUACUUAAAACUUUUAACAACUUUAAACUAGGAUGUCCUAAUAUAGUAUGCUCUAUGAUGUCUGAUGUGUUCUAAUCUUGUGUAGGAGUCAAAGCAUAGAGUCCAGUUCUCUUAGAUCCCUAGGUUAGUAUUGUCCUUGUGUUCUUGUCCUUUACAACGACGUUAGUUUCAUCAAAUUCAAGAGUGCAACAAUUAUCCUUAGCAAUUUUACAAACUGAGAGUGGAUUCACAGCAAUCUUAGAAACUACAAGGACAUUUUCUUAUUUCAAACAUGAUCUAGUUGUAUUCCUAACAUGUGUUAUGUCUAAUUGUGAUCCAUUCCCAACAACAAUUUUAUAAAAUCCACUGUAGUGUUUAAAUUAGAUAGAAUACUGGCUUUUGAGUCCAUAUACAAAGUGUCAUAUGUAGAUGAUGUAUUUUGCAGAUUGAUAGCAGCCAAUGCAUGUGGUAGUUCAUCUACAUAUUGACAAGAGUAGUCCCACCUGUAAAAGCACUUAAGAGUAGAAUCAUUAUUUCUACCAAAAAUUUUAAACGACUCGGUAGUAUUCCUAUCCUUAUUUAUACUUUAGAAGCUUUGAUUAUUCUAAGUAUUUAAUUUGAUCCUUGUCCAACAGGUUUGAGACCCCUUCCUUUGGAGUUGAAGUUGUUGUUUCCACUUUUCUAAGAGUAGUUUCCUCUUCCCCUUAUCCUUUGGGCAAAGAAUGCCAUGUUAAGGUUAUGUAGUUGCAAUUCUUCUUCAUCCUCUUUCAUAUCAAAAACCUUGAGAGAAUUAACAAAUUGAUUAAGAGUGGAAUAUGGUGCAUUACCUAGCAUGAAAAUCUUGAAGGAAUUGUACUUGAGACCUAAACCUAAAGUUCAUUACUUUUCUAUCUUCAUCCUCAGGAUUGUGAAUGGCUUCAAGACCAUCACAUAUUCCUUUGAAUUUCUUUAUGUAAUCAUCAAUUUUCGUGGUUCCUAGCCUAUACUUUGCAGUUAUUGUUUAAGCUAAAACACCUUAUCUUUGCUGCUUGUAGAUAGGCCUUAUUUAAGCAUUCUCACAUCUCCUUGGUAGUUGAGAAACCCACAAUAAAGUACAUGUCAUCUUCUAUCAAGGUGCCUAAGAUCCAGUUCCUUAGCAGUACAUAUUUCUCCUACAAUCAUCAACACUACCACUAUAUUCUACAUUAUCCUCAACACUUAUAACCACGACUUUCUCAACAGACUUUCCAGUAGAAUGACCACUCGCAAUUGGUUCAUUCUCCUUGAUGAUAUAGGUUAGUCACAUCACAUGAAUCAACUGCAUCAUUUGUGUCCUUCAUAUGAGAUAGUUUGUUAGCUUAAGUUUAAUGGAACAAGAGGCAAUUAGGUGGUGAAGGGAAUAAGUGGACAAAGUAUUGAUAGAGGGAUCCAUUUCAGUUAAACUUGUGAUCAUUUUGAAUUCAAUACUUAGGCAGCGGAAGAUUUUAAUUCUCUUAUACCAUGUAGAAUUCUCAACAAUAACUGAGAUAA